UACUUGUACCGACUGGAUGAGCAGCGAACGGGUGAGUAACGCGUGGGGAAUCUGCCUUUGAGCGGGGGACAACAUUUGGAAACGAAUGCUAAUACCGCAUAAAAACUUUAAACACAAGUUUUAAGUUUGAAAGAUGCAAUUGCAUCACUCAAAGAUGAUCCCGCGUUGUAUUAGCUAGUUGGUGAGGUAAAGGCUCACCAAGGCGAUGAUACAUAGCCGACCUGAGAGGGUGAUCGGCCACAUUGGGACUGAGACACGGCCCAAACUCCUACGGGAGGCAGCAGUAGGGAAUCUUCGGCAAUGGACGAAAGUCUGACCGAGCAACGCCGCGUGAGUGAAGAAGGUUUUCGGAUCGUAAAACUCUGUUGGUAGAGAAGAACGUUGGUGAGAGUGGAAAGCUCAUCAAGUGACGGUAACUACCCAGAAAGGGACGGCUAACUACGUGCCAGCAGCCGCGGUAAUACGUAGGUCCCGAGCGUUGUCCGGAUUUAUUGGGCGUAAAGCGAGCGCAGGUGGUUUAUUAAGUCUGGUGUAAAAGGCAGUGGCUCAACCAUUGUAUGCAUUGGAAACUGGUAGACUUGAGUGCAGGAGAGGAGAGUGGAAUUCCAUGGGUUA
rnacentral:rRNA from 1 species